rnacentral:tRNA from 1 species
GGAGAGGUGCUGGAGUGGCCGAACAGGACUGCCUGCUAAGCAGUUGUCGGGGCUUAAACCUCGACCGGGGGUUCGAAUCCCCCCCUCUCCGCCA